CCGCCAAUAACAAUCCUUAUUUCAUUUUAGUUUUAAUUAAAUCUCAAAUAUAAAUAUAAAAUUAUAAUUUAUAUUCUAUAUCGUAUUAACUCUCCUAAUAAGUCCCCAAAUAUCAAUACCCACCAAACCUCCAAAACUCCAUCGAUAUUCCCAAAGCCUUGUUGUCUUCUUUGCCAUACCAUAAGAAAAAGUACCCAGAUCUGAAAAUUGGGUUUGAGUUAAUGUUUUAGAUCUGAAAAUUUCCCAGAAAAACUUUAUGGAUGAAAUAUUGGAUGGUUUUAUAGUGCUUGAAAUCCGGUUGCUUUGAUUCCCAAAUCGCACCUCGACUUCUCGACUGCUUGAAGGGAAAGCUAAACCCAAAUUCACCUCGACUGCUCGACUAUUCGACUGCUUGAAGCCAAAAAUUGGGAAAAGACGAAAGUCAAAGUUUGCAACUGAAAUAACAAUACAAAUAGGUACUCCUUGAACAACCACUUUCGUUACUUUCAUGUGUUUCAUAUUUCAUGAGCUUUCUUUACAAAUUCUUGAUUUUACCUUCUAAUGGGGUUUAAUUUUCAUAGUGAUUAGUAGCUCUCUAUAGUUGUAGAUUUGGUUGUAUUUGGGUAAAUAGGGUUGUAUACUGCUACUACAUCUCUCAUGGUUUUUUCCGAUUGUUUUUUCAAUUUCUCAACAGCAGAUUUGUCGAACUGUAGAAUUCUUUGUUUACUGGUAGUGUAAGAAGAAAUCAUUAUUGGUAGCUGAGGAGAAAUUGUUGUUGGUAGCUAAGGAAAAAAUUGUUAUUGGUAAGUAGUUUUUAAUUUAAAUUUUGGAUAAUUGAAUUUGCUGGUAGUGUACUUGUAUACUUCUUAUUUAAGAUUUUUUAUAAUUUUAAUUUUCUCUGUAUUUUCUUCCUUCUCCAUUCUCAAGGCUACUCCUCGGAUUAGGGUUCAGUUUUGGGGUUUUCUUAUAUAAUUGUUGGUUGAGUGCUCUCCAACUUCUAUGUUGUAGGAUGAUUUGAAUUAUUGGGGGUUUGAGGAUCCGAGUUUGUUUGAUUAAGAGGGUUUAUAAUUUUAUGCUUUUAUUUUGGGUUUAAACUAGGAUUUCAUGUAUCUUGAAUCUCAACAAAUUAGCUGCUUUAAGUAACUUUUGAAAAUGCAUAUCAUUGUUAUGACAGCGAUAUUGAUUUCUACAAGGAAAUGGCUUCAGUUUUACAAAUAAAAGUUUCAGGUAUAUGCACAGAACAAGUAGGAACAUAUCAUUACUGGAAACAUUGCUAUAGCAGAAUCAUAGUCGUUAUAAGUAUGAAAAAUGGGUUAAACGACGUAUAAAGUCAAUCAUCUAGAAGUCCUAGCAAUUAAGAAAUUAAGAGAGGUCUGCUGCAUUUCUCCUAUAAUAGAAGUAUGGAAAUAUGGAAAUGUUUAGAAGGAAAGCAAAGUAAAGGACCGAAGUAACGUGAGAUUGGUAACAAAAAGAUACACCAUGGCUCAUACUACCAAACAUGACACCAUCACCAACUGCCAUAUUUGUAGGUAUACCAAGUAAAUCCAUUUACAGUAAUAUGCUUGCUGAUGUAUAUCCAAUAGUAAGAACAUUUUUGAAUCGUUUGAACAUUCAAAAUAACACUAAUAACAACAGACGGUGCUCAGAAUUUAUGCUUUACUAUUUGUAACUCCUUGAGUUCAUCCACUUUAAGCUUUGGUCAAAGUCAAAUUAGUAUGUACCUUGGUUUAUUGAGUUAAUUCUGUUGAUUUACUUUUAUCGUAUAGGAUUUUCAUGGAUAAUAUAGAUAAAAAUUGGAUGUAUCUCUUAAGAUGGACGGAUCCCUGGAGUGAAUGAUUUCCUUGAUAAGGCAUUUGAAUGAGCUUCCCAAGGAAAUGAAAUAUUAUGCCCUUGCAAAAAAUACAUUAAUCGUUAUUGGCAUUAUAGAAAUGUGGUGGAGGAUCACUUGGUUGUUAAUGUUUGUUGAUGGUUACACCGAAUGGGUUUUCCAUGGUGAAGGAUUUUCCUCUAGAAUUACACCUCGUCAAAGCAAUAAUAAUGAAGGUUCUAACAUGUGUGAUGAUAUUGAUGGAUUACUUCAUGAUACAUUCAGAAAUGUAGAAGGUGAGCCGGUAUAAGAAGAAGGGAUGAGAGAGGCUCUAUCUGAAGAUGCUAAGAGAUUUUUCAAAUUAUUAGAGGAAGGAAAACAAUAAUUAUAUCCAGGGUGUGAAAACUUCAAUAAACUGAGUUUCACCAUCCGGUUGUACUUGUUUAAGUCUUUGCAUGAGUUGAGUAAUGUAGCCUUUUCAGACUUGUUAGAGUUGAUAAAAGAGGCAUUUCCCUUUGCUAAGCUGCCAGAGUCUUUCAACAAGGCUAAAAAUAUGAUAAAAGAUUUGGGUCUUCAUUAUGAUAAAUUACGUGCAUGCCCUAAUGAUUGCAUGCUAUUUUGGAAUGACAAUGCAAAGACCGAUAAUUGCUCUAUUUGUGGGUCUUCUAGAUGGAAACGUUCUAAUCGUGCCUUGACUAAUACAAGUUCUAAAGUUCCUGUAAAGGUUUUAAGGUACUUUCCCUUGAAGCCUAGGCUUCAGAGGAUAUUCAUGUGUCCUGAAACAGCUAUUGCAAUGAGAUGGCAUGCUAAUGAACGACCUAAUGAUGAGAAUUUGAGGCAACCCACUGAUGGAGAAGCUUGGAAGGAUUUUGAUUCUCUACAUCCUGACUUCUCCAAAGAUCCACGUAAUGUUAGGUUGGGUCUUUCAAGUGAUGGUUUCAACCCAUUUCGAACCAUGAGCAUUUCUCAUAGCACGUGACCUGUCAUGUUAAUGAACUAUAAUUUAUCACCAUGGAUUUGCAUGAAGCCAGAAUAUAUCAUGUUGUCAAUGAUCAUUCCAGGUCCUUCAUCUCUAGGAGAUGAUAUAGAUGUGUACUUACAACCACUUAUUUCAAAUUGAAGGAACUAUAGGAAACUGGGAUAGAAACAUAUGAUGCUAAGACAAAGCAAACAUUUCAAAUGCAUGCAGCCUUGUUGUGGACAAUUAGUAUGACAAUCCAGUUAGUCGUCUCACGAGUUAUCGCUUCGUUUCUCCCAUUUCUACUUCUAAUUGCUUUGUAUUAUGUUUUUAUAUCUGAUCGGGUUGAUUGGUUAGGGUUCGGAAAGGAUUUGAUAAGGAAUUGAGACAAUUAGUCUCUUUAGAGUGAGUUUAAGUUGGAAAAGUCAACUGGAUGUUGACUUGUGAGUUAGAGGGCUCGGAUUUGAAUUCCAAUGGUUCGGUUAGCUUUGGGAGGUGAUUUGGAACUUAGGAGCGCGAUCGGAAUGAGUUUUGGAGAUGUAGAGAAGAUUUAAGCUUGAAUUGACGAAGUUGAUAUUUUGGCAAUUUUCGGUUGGUAGGUGAAAUUUUGAUAUAGGAGUCGGAAUGGAAUUUCAAGAGUUACAGUAGCCCCGUCGUGUCAUUUGGGAUGUGUGUACAAAAUUUCAGGUCAUUUGGACGUGGUUUGGUUGAGUUUUUGAUCGAAAGCAGAAAUUGGAAGAUUUUGGAAAGUUUGGCUUGAAUCCGAUGUGUUUUGGGUGAUUUGAUGUUGUUUGAGGUAUUUUGAUGAUUGGAACAAGGUUGAAUAAGGUAUUAGGAUGUGUUCGUGCCUUUGGUUGAGGUCCUGGGGGACUCAGGUGAGUUUCGGGUGGUCAUUCGGAUCAUUUUGAAGUUGAAAAGAUUGCAGAAAUUGCAGGUUCAGCUGUUGCAGAACUUUGCCCUUCGCGAUCGCAUAGGGAGUCCUGCGAUCGCAUAGAAGUUUUGAGGAGGUCGUCCAGUGGUUCUUCAUGUUCGCGAAGGUUGGCUUGCGAUCCCAUAGAAUGGAGAGGUUAUUCAUCGCGAACGCGGGAAUGUGGUCGCGUUCGCAUAGAGUUAAAUGGACCUGGGGCUUAACUGGAUUUUUGAUCAUUGUGAACACGGAGGGAUGUCCGCGAUCGAUUAGGGUCAGUCGCCUGGGCAUCGCGUUCAUAGGGCUAUUGAUGCAUUCGCGUAAGAGAAAUUUUGGGAGCUGAAGAUUUGUUCUUCGCGAUCGCGAGGGAUGUUCCGCGAUCGCGAUGAAGGAAAAUAUGUCUGGGCAGAAGGUUUUUAAACUCGUCUUGUCCGCGAGGAUUGGGUUUAUUUCUUCCAUAGUGGAUCAUUUUUGAAGAUUUAUGAUGGAGAUUGAAGAGGGAUUCAAGGGGAAUCACUUGAAGGUAAGAAUCUCGGACUUAAAACUCGAUUAUUAUGUGAAAUCCACCUAGAAAAUGAUGGAAUUUAAGCUAAAAAUUGAAGAACUAGGGCUUGGAAAUUUGGACUUUUGAUUGGGGAUUUGGAGGACCAUUUGGGGUCGUAUAUGAGAACUUUUGAUAUGUAUGAACUCGUGGGGAGAUAAGGAACCCGAUGAUGUGAAAUUUCUGAAUUUCGAAACGUUGGCCCAGGGGUCGGGUUUUGGUAAUUUCGGGAUUUGUGCCCUUUAUGAUUAUUUUUGCUUGGGCUUCAUUCCCUUAGCAUAUUUUGACGUCCUAGUUCUGAUUUUGGAUAGAUUCGACGUGCGUGGAGGCUAAUUCGAGGGGUAAAGGCGUCACAAGCUAGAGAUUUAGCCGGUUUGAGAUGAGUAAUGAUUGUAAAUGAUGCUCUGAGGGUUUGAAACCCCGGAUUGCACAUCGUAGUGCUAUAUUGGAGUGAGACACACGCUCGAUGACGAGCGCGGGAUCGUGCACUAUUGGGGAUUGUGAUUUAGUCCAUCCCGAUUGAUGAUUUUACCGCGUAUUUGACUGAAAUCUAUUAGAUAUCAUCAUGAUUUGGGCUGAAUGCCAUAUUUGGGCCUUGUGCCAUCUAUUUGAGCCCUUCGGGGAUUUAUAUUAAUAUUUCCUCACCUUUUUUGAAUAUUUACUUGAAAUCAGUCAUGUUAUUUUACACUAUUUCCAUAUUCAGCCAUGUUUUACUCAGUUUUAACACUUAAAAGGAUAUUUUCAAUAAUGUUUGGGCUGAGAAACACUGUUUUAUUAUUGCCCGAACGACUUGUGAGGAUUUAUGACUGAGUAAGGCCAAGGGCCUAUAUUGUGAGAAAACACUGAUAUUGAUUUGGGCCGAGGGCCUAAGAUAUGUACACCACGAGGUGGCUUGAUAUUGAUAUGAGGCCGAGAGCCUAUUUAUGAUGCCACGAGAUGGCUUGUUAUUGCGCUUGGGCCAUAAGGGCCCCCUCCCAGAGUUUGUACACCCCCAGUGAGCGUGGGUACCCAUUGUGAUGUGAGAUUGAGCCCGAGGGGCUUGUAUUGUUCUGAGAUGUUGCCCGAGGGACAGUUUUAUUGAUACAGUGCCUGAGGGGCGAACCUUUACUUGUUUAUUUCUCCUUAACUGCCUGUCAAUUAAAUGCUUACUUGCUGAAAAAGGAUUUUUACUUAUCUUUUGACUGAUUUACUAUUUUUAAAUGAUGUUUUACUGUUUCAUUAAAAAAAAUUGUUGUGUGCCUAACGUGUUUUCUUACUUUCAGUCAUUAUUUACAUUUGUUACUCACUGAAUCGGAGUACUCACAUUACUCCCUGCACCCUAUGUGCAGAUUCAGGCGUAGCUGGUCCCGCUCCCGAGUGUUGAUCAUCUCCAGCUUCAGGCGGACAUUCGGAGUUCACGAGGUAGCUGCCUGGCAUCGUCAGCCCCGUGUCUCUACUCUUUAUCAUUUCUAUUUCCUUUCAGACAUUUGUACUGGUUUAUGGAUUUAGUCUACCUGUAUUUUUACUUAUAGAUGCUCAUGACUAGUGACACCCCGGUUAGGAUUGUGUAUGGAUGUUCUUCCGCAUAUUUAUGAUAUUAACUGCUAUUUCGGAUUUAUUUUAUCGCGUUUAGACUGUUUUAUAAAUGCU
rnacentral:lncRNA from 1 species